rnacentral:misc_RNA from 1 species
GAAAUGCGAUAAGUAAUGUGAAUUGCAGAAUUCCGUGAAUCAUCGAAUCUUUGAACGCACAUUGCGCCCUCUGGUAUUCCGGGGGGCAUGCCUGUCCGGGCGUCAUUGCGAACCCCUCAAGCACGGCUUGUGUGAUGGGCCCUCCCGCGUCUUGGUCGUCAAGACGGGCCCGAAAUGCAGUGGCGGCUUCGCGGUUAUCCGAUCAGCCAGAGCGUAUGGGGACUUUCUCUCUGUCACACGCCCGCGGCGCGGACCGACGCCUGUCGACCUUUAUUCAUCUUUUUCUCGGUUGACCUCGGAUCAGGUAGGGAUACCCGCUGAACUUAAGC